UUUAUGAAUUUCGGAGCAAUGGGAUUUGUUUACAGUCACGAAAUGCUUCACGGAUUUGAUAUGUCAGGCGUACGGUAAGAAAACUUUAUCGGAAAAUAUCGCCGAUAAUGGUGGCCUUCGUCUAGCUUAUUUGGUAAUACGAUUUGUAUAUUAUAAUUUAUUUUUAUAAAUUCAUUAUACAGUAUACGAGUUAUUUCUACUAAACUUAUAAUCUUUCUCAGAAUAAGAUGGAAGCAAUGUUCAAUACGUACACGAAAAUAAAAGUUUCUUUAGAUAGUAAAACAGUAGUGUUAUCGAUGUUACGACUGUUAUUAUUUGUAAUAAAGUAUAGAUAAAUAGAGUUAUCCUUAUUUUUUCAUUAAUUGUAAUUUUAUUUAUAAAAAAUUCACAAGUUUAUAAAUUCUGCGAAUGAAUUUAAAAUGAAAAGUUAUUUAUUUUUAAACUUAAACUAGAGUUAUAAAAAAUGGGUGGAAGAUCACGGUAGAGAGAAACGUCUCCCGUGUCUAGAAAAGUACAGCCCCGAGCAAUUGUUCUUUAUAUCUUUUGCUGAGUCAUGGUGUAGUUACAUUCCGUUGGAGAGUGUGGUUCGAGUUGACGAAGACAUACAUGCUGCCGAUCAAUUAAGGACUAUCCACAUUAGUUUCGAGUCAAAGAACGUAUCGUUCUCCAAUGGAUAUCUCUCUCCGCGACGGUGCGCUUUGUUCUAGCGAAGAGAGAAUUGGAAUUUGCUAUAUCGAAUGCCAGAUAAUUAGAACUCUUGCUUGUACAAAAGCGUUUCCUCCUUGCAGAUGUCACGAUUACUGAGACGAUAAAGAAAACCUUCGUGUUAUUGCGCCACGAAUUUUCAAUCAUGAUCAUUUUUUGAUCUAAUGGAUGCUCUUCAUUACUAUUACUUUGAUCGUUAAAGAAUUAGCCUAAGCUAUUUAUAGUUUAUGAUAUUUUAAAACGAUAUCCGAGUGCUACCAGUUACAUUUGUAACUGCUCUCUUUAUUUUUAUAGCGCAGUUACGCAGGAAAUUAUCGCUUACUUUAUAAGAUCGAAAGGAUUAAAGUUGCUUAUUAUAUUUAUCUAUAUACUUGUUAAUUCUUUAACUUGUUUUAGUCGAAAUUGUUGUAUUAAUUAGGGGAGACCGGGGCAAGAUCGGCAUGUUAAGCUUUACUUAAAUUUUGUGUAAUAAAUACUGCUGUAAACUGGAAAAAAAAGCUUUGCAUAUUGUCUAUUGGAAUGUUUUCUUACUAUAGAACUGGUUAAAAUCAGUUUGGAAAUAAAAAUAAUUAAAAUAAUUACAACUUUACAAGACGAGAGAACUCCGUCUCCCGAAGUUGGUUUAUCGUGUUGAACACGGCUUGGAUAGUUCUAGAUGUAGGUCCGUUGGAAGCACACCUCCACACUCAAAACAGUCAGUAUAUACAUUUUAUUUACAAAUUUAUACAAAUUAUACAAGUUAGGUAUACAAAGAGUGAUGUCUCACGUUCCAGUUUGACCUUUGGGAAACGAUUAUAUCCUUGAGAGAUAUCGGUCAGUCAGUGGAUUGGCUCUAUCUGCACUGUUCGUCCCGUCUCAGCACUUACCUGUCCCUGAGAUAUUCUGCAGAGGAGUAUGCUCUCUCUCUUUCCCUCUAACCUCAGCGGUUUGCUAAGUGUCUGAGACCUUAGUGCUACCAGUCCCGAGCCCUUUCUCUUUCCCUCUAUCUUGCUCGCUUUCCAAUUUAAAGACUUUUUGAACGGGAACGUCAGACCAAUUACAGCUCUUCCUUGCAAACAGCUUUCAUCCAGGUUCGCUUGACUCGGAUCAACACCACCUAGAAAACAAGACUUUACGGCAGACUUCAUGAUGUCUUUACUGAUGAAUCGUGUACUACUACUACUUGAAUGGAAUUCGCGUCUAGAAAAGUAAACGAUAUAUAUAUAAUUGAUUUAAAAAAUGUUUUUAUAUAUAAUUCGCGAAUUCUUCUUCAAACUAAAAGGCGUUGAUGUUAGAAUGAUCAAUCAUUUCAAAACAAGGACUGAGGUCUGUUCUUUGUCAAAUAUCAGUCUAUGGAAAUCAUCCAACACAGAUUCUUAAAAACCUUUAUUAUACAACUGUAAUUGCAGGUAAUAAAUUGUAACUUUACUUUUA